rnacentral:rRNA from 1 species
UACGAAGGGUGCAAGCGUUACUCGGAAUUACUGGGCGUAAAGCGUGCGUAGGUGGUUCGUUAAGUCUGUCGUGAAAGCCCCGGGCUCAACCUGGGAAUGGCGAUGGAUACUGGCGAGCUAGAGUGCGGUAGAGGAGAGUGGAAUUCCCGGUGUAGCAGUGAAAUGCGUAGAGAUCGGGAGGAACAUCAGUUGCGAAGGCGGCUCUCUGGACAAGCACUGACACUGAGGCACGAAAGCGUGGGGAGCAAACAGG